rnacentral:rRNA from 1 species
CCUACGGGAGGCAGCAGUGAGGAAUAUUGGUCAAUGGACGAGAGUCUGAACCAGCCAAGUAGCGUGAAGGAUGACUGCACUAUGGGUUGUAAACUUCUUUUAUAUGGGAAUAAAAUGUUCCACGUGUGGGAUUUUGUAUGUACCAUAUGGAUAAGGAUCGGCUAACUCCGUGCCAGCAGCCGCGGUAAUACGGAGGAUCCGAGCGUUAUCCGGAUUUAUUGGGUUUAAAGGGAGCGUAGGUGGAUUGUUAAGUCAGUUGUGAAAGUUUGCGGCUCAACCGUAAAAUUGCAGUUGAAACUGGCAGUCUUGAGUACAGUAGAGGUGGGCGGAAUUCGUGGUGUAGCGGUGAAAUGCUUAGAUAUCACGAAGAACUCCGAUUGUGAAGGCAGUUCACUGGACUGCAACUGACACUGAGGCUCGAAAGUGUGGGUAUCAAACAGGAUUAGAUACCCGAGUAGUC